rnacentral:rRNA from 1 species
GGCGAACGCUGGCGGCGUGCCUAAUACAUGCAAGUUGAGCGCUGAAGGUUGGUACUUGUACCGACUGGAUGAGCAGCGAACGGGUGAGUAACGCGUGGGGAAUCUGCCUUUGAGCGGGGGACAACAUUUGGAAACGAAUGCUAAUACCGCAUAAAAACUUUAAACACAAGUUUUAAGUUUGAAAGAUGCAAUUGCCUCACUCAAAGAUGAUCCCGCGUUGUAUUAGCUAGUUGGUGAGGUAAAGGCUCACCAAGGCGAUGAUACAUAGCCGACCUGAGAGGGUGAUCGGCCACAUUGGGACUGAGACACGGCCCAAACUCCUACGGGAGGCAGCAGUAGGGAAUCUUCGGCAAUGGACGAAAGUCUGACCGAGCAACGCCGCGUGAGUGAAGAAGGUUUUCGGAUCGUAAAACUCUGUUGGUAGAGAAGAACGUUGGUGAGAGUGGAAAGCUCAUCAAGUGACGGUAACUACCCAGAAAGGGACGGCUAACUACGUG